UUGUCCGCUGCUCUUCUUCUACUUCUGUCUUUAUUCAGCUGUGGAAGCGCUAUACAGUUUCCCGACUCCCAUCUGACCCAGAAAUGGGCGAUGCAGAUGCAGGAGGAGCUAGUGCAGUUGAUGGAUGCUGAGACCGGCAUACAAAAGCUUCAAAAAAUUUUCCUGCAAUUUCAUAGACACUAUGAUGUCAAGCAA